CGUGCUGUGGCUUAGUUGGUGAAAUUGCCUAUCUACUAAACAGGAGAUCCUGGGUUCAAAUCCCAGCAGUGCCU
rnacentral:tRNA from 1 species